rfam:Listeriaceae bacterium FSL A5-0281 contig000019, whole genome shotgun sequence.
ACAAGAAAGAAGGAGCAUCCCGCUUCUCGCCUCGUGAAAUCUAUUUUUGCAGGCAAAGAAUUGGAAUUAUGGUUCACUUAUGUGAAUUUUCUGAUGUGCGGGUUUGUAACGAAACCGGCGCUUUUUUCAUGCG